rnacentral:rRNA from 1 species
AUACGGAGGAUCCGAGCGUUAUCCGGAUUUAUUGGGUUUAAAGGGAGCGUAGGCGGACGCUUAAGUCAGUUGUGAAAGUUUGCGGCUCAACCGUAAAAUUGCAGUCGAUACUGGGUGUCUUGAGUACAGUAGAGGCAGGCGGAAUUCGUGGUGGGGCGGGGAAAUGCUUAGAUAUCACGAAGAACUCCGAUUGCGAAGGCAGCCUGCUGGACUGUAACUGACGCUGAUGCUCGAAAGUGUGGGUAUCAAACAGGAUUAGAUACCCUGGUAGUCCACACAGUAAACGAUGAAUACUCGCUGUUUGCGAUAUACAGUAAGCGGCCAAGCGAAAGCGUUAAGUAUUCCACCUGGGGAGUACGCCGGCAACGGUGAAACUCAAAGGAAUUGACGGGG